GGUGUGAUCACAGCUCACUAUAGUCUCGAUCUCCUGGGCCUCCCACAUCAGCCUUAUCACUCAUUCUGGGGGCAGCCCUCUGGCAUGUAAUGAGCAGUCCUAUGGAGAGGCCCAUGUGACAGUAGCCAUGCGAGUGACACUGGAAGUGAAACCUGCAGCUCCAGUCAAGCCUUUAGAAGACUGCAGCCCUGGCUGACAGCUUGACAGCAAACUCAUGAGAGACUCUCAGCUUGAACAACUCAGCUAAACUGUUCCUGGGUUCCUGGUCCUCAAAAACUGUUAUAAAAGACAUUGUGGCUACCAUCUCUCAUCACUCACUCAAAGGGAAGCCAACCACCAUGCAAUGAGAAUCUCAGGUAAUGAGGACCUGAGACCUGUUGUCAAUCACGUGAAUAAGCUUGGGAGGAGAUUCUCCAGCCCCAGUCAAGCCUCAGAAGACUUCAGCCCUAGGUGACAGCUUGAUGAUAAUCUCGGGAGGCAGAACCACCCAACUAAGCCACUCCUGGAUUCCUGACCCUGACCCUGACCCUAGAAACAGUGUGAGCUGGAAUUCUGUGAAGCACAUGACCUCAAGUCUUUGGAUAAAUGGAAACGCAGCUUAUGCCGGAAAGAUGGAAGGCUGGCUGUACUAAUAUCAGAAAUGGAAGAGGAGAGACAUCACUAGAGAUCCCAUGGAUAUUGAAAGGAUAAUAAAGGAGUAUUAUGAGCAUUGUUAUA
rnacentral:lncRNA from 10 species